rnacentral:rRNA from 1 species
UUGACCUCGGAUCAGGUAGGAUACCGCUGAAUA